GAUGAAGAACGUAGCGAAAUGCGAUAAGUAAUGUGAAUUGCAGAAUUCAGUGAAUCAUCGAAUCUUUGAACGCACAUUGCGCCCGCCAGUAUUCUGGCGGGCAUGCCUGUUCGAGCGUCAUUUCAACCAUCAAGCCCCCGGCUUGUGUUGGGGACCUGCGGCUGUCGCAGGCCCUGAAAAGCAGUGGCGGGCUCGCUGUCACACCGAGCGUAGUAGCAUACAUCUCGCUCUGGGCGUGCUGCGGGUUCCGGCCGUUAAACCACCUUCAUAACCCAAGGUUGACCUCGGAUCAGGUAGGAAGACCCGCUGAACUUAAGCAUAUCAAUAAGCGGAGGA
rnacentral:misc_RNA from 1 species